UUAAGCGACUAAGCGUACACGGUGGAUGCCCUGGCAGUCAGAGGCGAUGAAGGACGUGCUAAUCUGCGAUAAGCGUCGGUAAGGUGAUAUGAACCGUUAUAACCGGCGAUUUCCGAAUGGGGAAACCCAGUGUGUUUCGACACACUAUCAUUAACUGAAUCCAUAGGUUAAUGAGGCGAACCGGGGGAACUGAAACAUCUAAGUACCCCGAGGAAAAGAAAUCAACCGAGAUUCCCCCAGUAGCGGCGAGCGAACGGGGAGCAGCCCAGAGCCUGAAUCAGUGUGUGUGUUAGUGGAAGCGUCUGGAAAGGCGCGCGAUACAGGGUGACAGCCCCGUACACAAAAAUGCACAUGCUGUGAGCUCGAUGAGUAGGGCGGGACACGUGGUAUCCUGUCUGAAUGUGGGGGGACCAUCCUCCAAGGCUAAAUACUCCUGACUGACCGAUAGUGAACCAGUACCGUGAGGGAAAGGCGAAAAGAACCCCGGCGAGGGGAGUGAAAAAGAACCUGAAACCGUGUACGUACAAGCAGUGGGAGCACGCUUAGGCGUGUGACUGCGUACCUUUUGUAUAAUGGGUCAGCGACUUAUAUUCUGUAGCAAGGUUAACCGAAUAGGGGAGCCGAAGGGAAACCGAGUCUUAACUGGGCGUUAAGUUGCAGGGUAUAGACCCGAAACCCGGUGAUCUAGCCAUGGGCAGGUUGAAGGUUGGGUAACACUAACUGGAGGACCGAACCGACUAAUGUUGAAAAAUUAGCGGAUGACUUGUGGCUGGGGGUGAAAGGCCAAUCAAACCGGGAGAUAGCUGGUUCUCCCCGAAAGCUAUUUAGGUAGCGCCUCGUGAAUUCAUCUCCGGGGGUAGAGCACUGUUUCGGCAAGGGGGUCAUCCCGACUUACCAACCCGAUGCAAACUGCGAAUACCGGAGAAUGUUAUCACGGGAGACACACGGCGGGUGCUAACGUCCGUCGUGAAGAGGGAAACAACCCAGACCGCCAGCUAAGGUCCCAAAGUCAUGGUUAAGUGGGAAACGAUGUGGGAAGGCCCAGACAGCCAGGAUGUUGGCUUAGAAGCAGUCAUCAUUUAAAGAAAGCGUAAUAGCUCACUGGUCGAGUCGGCCUGCGCGGAAGAUGUAACGGGGCUAAACCAUGCACCGAAGCUGCGGCAGCGACGCUUAUGCGUUGUUGGGUAGGGGAGCGUUCUGUAAGCCUGUGAAGGUGUACUGUGAGGUAUGCUGGAGGUAUCAGAAGUGCGAAUGCUGACAUAAGUAACGAUAAAGCGGGUGAAAAGCCCGCUCGCCGGAAGACCAAGGGUUCCUGUCCAACGUUAAUCGGGGCAGGGUGAGUCGACCCCUAAGGCGAGGCCGAAAGGCGUAGUCGAUGGGAAACAGGUUAAUAUUCCUGUACUUGGUGUUACUGCGAAGGGGGGACGGAGAAGGCUAUGUUGGCCGGGCGACGGUUGUCCCGGUUUAAGCGUGUAGGCUGGUUUUCCAGGCAAAUCCGGAAAAUCAAGGCUGAGGCGUGAUGACGAGGCACUACGGUGCUGAAGCAACAAAUGCCCUGCUUCCAGGAAAAGCCUCUAAGCAUCAGGUAACAUCAAAUCGUACCCCAAACCGACACAGGUGGUCAGGUAGAGAAUACCAAGGCGCUUGAGAGAACUCGGGUGAAGGAACUAGGCAAAAUGGUGCCGUAACUUCGGGAGAAGGCACGCUGAUAUGUAGGUGAAGUCCCUCGCGGAUGGAGCUGAAAUCAGUCGAAGAUACCAGCUGGCUGCAACUGUUUAUUAAAAACACAGCACUGUGCAAACACGAAAGUGGACGUAUACGGUGUGACGCCUGCCCGGUGCCGGAAGGUUAAUUGAUGGGGUCAGCGCAAGCGAAGCUCUUGAUCGAAGCCCCGGUAAACGGCGGCCGUAACUAUAACGGUCCUAAGGUAGCGAAAUUCCUUGUCGGGUAAGUUCCGACCUGCACGAAUGGCGUAAUGAUGGCCAGGCUGUCUCCACCCGAGACUCAGUGAAAUUGAACUCGCUGUGAAGAUGCAGUGUACCCGCGGCAAGACGGAAAGACCCCGUGAACCUUUACUAUAGCUUGACACUGAACAUUGAGCCUUGAUGUGUAGGAUAGGUGGGAGGCUUGGAAGUGUGGACGCCAGUCUGCAUGGAGCCGACCUUGAAAUACCACCCUUUAAUGUUUGAUGUUCUAACGUUGACCCGUAAUCCGGGUUGCGGACAGUGUCUGGUGGGUAGUUUGACUGGGGCGGUCUCCUCCUAAAGAGUAACGGAGGAGCACGAAGGUUGGCUAAUCCUGGUCGGACAUCAGGAGGUUAGUGCAAUGGCAUAAGCCAGCUUGACUGCGAGCGUGACGGCGCGAGCAGGUGCGAAAGCAGGUCAUAGUGAUCCGGUGGUUCUGAAUGGAAGGGCCAUCGCUCAACGGAUAAAAGGUACUCCGGGGAUAACAGGCUGAUACCGCCCAAGAGUUCAUAUCGACGGCGGUGUUUGGCACCUCGAUGUCGGCUCAUCACAUCCUGGGGCUGAAGUAGGUCCCAAGGGUAUGGCUGUUCGCCAUUUAAAGUGGUACGCGAGCUGGGUUUAGAACGUCGUGAGACAGUUCGGUCCCUAUCUGCCGUGGGCGCUGGAGAACUGAGGGGGGCUGCUCCUAGUACGAGAGGACCGGAGUGGACGCAUCACUGGUGUUCGGGUUGUCAUGCCAAUGGCACUGCCCGGUAGCUAAAUGCGGAAGAGAUAAGUGCUGAAAGCAUCUAAGCACGAAACUUGCCCCGAGAUGAGUUUUCCCUGACCCUUUAAGGGUCCUGAAGGAACGUUGAAGACGACGACGUUGAUAGGCCGGGUGUGUAAGCGCAGCGAUGCGUUGAGCUAACCGGUACUAAUGAACCGUGAGGCUUAACCUU
rnacentral:rRNA from 1 species